rnacentral:rRNA from 1 species
GGCCGUCGUCAGUUCGUACUGUGAAGCAUCCUGUUAAGUCAGGCAACGAGCGAGACCCACGCCACAGUUGCCAGCGUACUCUCCGGAGUGACGGGUACACUGUGGGACCGCCGCUGCUAAAGCGGAGGAAGGAAUGGGCAACGGUAGGUCAGUAUGCCCCGAAUAUCCCGGGCUACACGCGAGCUACAAUGGUUGGUACAAUGGGUAUCUACCCCGAAAGGGGACGGGAAUCUCCUAAAACCAAUCUUAGUUCGGAUUGAGGGCUGCAACUCGCCCUCAUGAAGCUGGAAUCCGUAGUAAUCGCGUUUCAACAGAACGCGGUGAAUACGUCCCUGCUCCUU